UACGGAGGAUGCAAGCGUUAUCCGGAAUUAUUGGGCGUAAAGCGUCCGCAGGUGGCUCAUCAAGUCUGCUGUCAAAGGCAGGGGCUUAACCCCUGAAAGGCAGUGGAAACUGGGGAGCUAGAGUGCAGUAGGGGUAGAGGGAAUUCCCGGUGUAGCGGUGAAAUGCGUAGAGAUCGGGAAGAACAUCAGUGGCGAAAGCGACUUCCUGGACCAAUACUGACGCUCAUGUGCGAAAGCGUGGGGAGCAAACAGG
rnacentral:rRNA from 1 species